AUGCCGCUGCCCGUUGCGCUGCAGACCCGCUUGGCCAAGAGAGGCAUCCUCAAACAUCUGGAGCCUGAACCAGAGGAAGAGAUCAUUGCCGAGGACUAUGACGAUGAUCCUGUGGACUACGAGGCCACCAGGUUGGAGGGCCUACCACCAAGCUGGUACAAGGUGUUCGACCCUUCCUGCGGGCUCCCUUACUACUGGAAUGCAGACACAGACCUUGUAUCCUGGCUCUCCCCACAUGACCCCAACUCCGUGGUUACCAAAUCGGCCAAGAAGCUCAGAAGCAGUAAUGCAGAUGCUGAAGAAAAGUUGGACCGGAGCCAUGACAAGUCGGACAGGGGCCAUGACAAGUCGGACCGCAGCCAUGAGAAACUAGACAGGGGCCACGACAAGUCAGACCGGGGCCACGACAAGUCUGACAGGGAUCGAGAGCGUGGCUAUGACAAGGUAGACAGAGAGAGAGAGCGAGACAGGGAACGGGAUCGGGACCGCGGGUAUGACAAGGCAGACCGGGAAGAGGGCAAAGAACGGCGCCACCAUCGCCGGGAGGAGCUGGCUCCCUACCCCAAGAGCAAGAAGGGUAAGCUGGGCAGAAUGGGGCUCGGUGAGACCAACAAGGUGCAGGGUGCACUGCAUGAGGAUGCCUUCCCUCAAAAAGAUGCCUGGACCUGGGGCUAGAGGAGGGUGCUGUGGUACAUGGCAGCCAGGGGCUUCAUUUCUUCUUGUGGGGUGGGGCUCAGUGAUCAGGGGCUCCUGGUGCCUCUAUUGAAGACUUUGCCCUGCCACUUCCACAGCAGUAAGCCGAAAGGAUGAAGAGUUAGACCCCAUGGACCCUAGCUCAUACUCAGACGCCCCCCGGGGCACGUGGUCAACAGGACUCCCCAAGCGGAAUGAGGCCAAGACUGGCGCUGACACCACAGCAGCUGGGCCCCUCUUCCAGCAGCGGCCGUAUCCAUCCCCAGGGGCUGUGCUCCGGGCCAAUGCAGAGGCCUCCCGAACCAAGCAGCAGGAUUGA
rnacentral:sRNA from 1 species